rnacentral:ncRNA from 1 species
ACGGUUCUUUUAUAAGAUUAAUAGGGAAACGGGUGCAAAUCCCGUGCAGUCCCGCUGCCGUGAGUCCCGUUAUUUCGCCGGUCUAUUCUUUUUUAGAAAACGCCACUGUUUGGAUCAAGCAAGCCAAACGGGAAGGCAAGACCGAUGCGGGGACAAGCCGGAAGACCUGCCGCCAUUC